UGGUUGGGUUUGUCGAGUAGAAUAGAGGGGGCGAAUAAGUCUAAGUGGCGAUACUAUCUCAGAUAGCAUAGAAGUCCAUGAUUGCUUAUACGUUUUUGCGUUAGUUUUCGGAGAAAUUGUAGGCUUCUAUCUUGAGGUUUUGUGAACGGGCCUUACAUAGAUUUGCUCGUGGCAACUAAGAUGAGGACUCCAGUUAUUUGGUUCUGUGGCAACCACGCAAAUUUUCGAGUUUCGCGGAUUUGGAAUCUGUGUUUCUCCUUACAACUUGACUUUGACCGCUUAGCAGUGAUCCUUUGCAAUUUGAGUUGUAAUGUUGUCUUUAUAUUUCUGUAGAUUGCUUUAAUCUGUUUCAUGUUUUCCCUGUAAUUCUGUCAAAAAUGAAAAUGGUAUAAAAUUUAACCUUUUAUUAAAAAAA
rnacentral:sRNA from 1 species